rnacentral:rRNA from 1 species
UGCCAGCCGCCGCGGUAAUACGGAGGGUGCAAGCGUUAUCCGGAUUUAUUGGGUUUAAAGGGUGCGCAGGCGGAACUUUAAGUCAGUGGUGAAAUCUUGCCGCUUAACGGUAAAAUUGCCACUGAUACCGGAUUUCUUGAAUUAGUGUGAAGUGGUUAGAAUGUGUAGUGUAGCGGUGAAAUGCAUAGAUAUUACACAGAAUACCAAUUGCGAAGGCAGAUCACUAACACUAUAUUGACGCUAAGGGACGAAAGCGUGGGGAGCGAACGGGAUUAGAUG